rnacentral:lncRNA from 1 species
CCUCAAAUGUUGAUGCUGAUCUGGAACAUCACUACGUUCGAUCAACUAAAGAGGGAGCUAGUUCGUUGGUUAGAUGGGAAAAUACCAGAAGCGAAAAAAAUUAGAAGUAUUGAGAGACUCGACAAUAUCUUUGGUUGGGUGAGAAUGAAGACUGAUAAGGAUGCUAGGGAAAUGAUGUUCGGUCGAGAUGACAUCAAUUUGAUUGUUGUAAUCAGUUAGAAAUAUUUCUGUUUCAGAUAGCUUAUUUUGUACUGAUGUUUGUUGUGAACCUCGUUGUAACAAAAACUUAAUGAUAUAUAAUGAUUGAAG